GCUACAGAGAAAGGAGAUGAGUCACGAGCCUACACUGAGGCAGCAAGGAGAACCGAGACUGCAGCCCUCCCUCCCUCUCGUCCUGUCCUUCCCGAGCCUGCCCUCGCUGAGCAUCCCUUCCUUUACUUGUUCUUGCUAGGAAGGUCACAAGCCUGAAACCUCUAAACAGGGUCAAGAGGCACAGUGUUAUGCUCCCUGCGGCGGUCACAGCAGCCCACGGACCUGCGGUGUUCACAAGACACUUUUCUUCCACUUGUCGGAGCGGGCGGUGCCUCGUGAGUGCCUCUCUCUUCCGGGAUGAAAUGUUGAUGAGUCCCAUCUUGGACAAAUAACAGCUUCGGUGAUUUCACAGGAGUGUGCGUCUUGUCCGGGAGGCGACAUUUUGCAGCAGCAUCCUCCCCAUCCUCCAGCUCUGAUGUCAUUUCCACCUUCCCUUCACGGUGUCCCCUUGAGCCUUGGAGGCCGGUGAUGUGGAUGCCCCCAUUUAGGCCACAGCACACAGCUCACUCCUCAGUGUUAUCAGGUGUUUCCGGGCUCUUGGCCUCGUACCCAAAGAACUGCAAGCCCGCAGGUCAGCACGGAAGACUUGGAGCAGUAAUCAGGAAGAUACAGAAAAGUCCCCCUGGCAAGUUCGACAGCGCCCGCGGGACAGGGUCUAUUAUGUUGCUCUACCUGUCCUGGAACACCAUAUACAGACCAGGCUGGCCCGGAAGUACCAGAGAUCCUCCUGCCUCUGCUUCCUGUGUGCUGGGAUCAAAAGUGUGAGCCUCCACCAUACCAUACCCAGCUUUAAUAAAUUCAUUCUCUCUCUCUCUCUCUCUCUCU